CGACCGGCGCACGGGUGCGUAACGCGUAUGCAACCUACCUUUAACAGGGGGAUAACACUGAGAAAUUGGUACUAAUACCCCAUAAUAUCAUAGAAGGCAUCUUUUAUGGUUGAAAAUUCCGAUGGUUAGAGAUGGGCAUGCGUUGUAUUAGCUAGCUGGUGGGGUAACGGCUCACCAAGGCGACGAUACAUAGGGGGACUGAGAGGUUAACCCCCCACACUGGUACUGAGACACGGACCAG
rnacentral:rRNA from 1 species